GGUCCUGUAGUGUAGUCGGCUAUCACUCCAGACUCUGAAUCUGGCGACCUGAGUUCGAGUCUCAGCAGGACCU